UCCCUCUUCCUCUUUCAAACAUCUUCUUCUUCUUCAACCUUCUCUGUUCCUUUAUUACUUGCAAAAAAAAUGUCUUUUUUCUGGGCUAUGCUCACCUUGAAGGUUAGGGUUUAGAGUAGGUUUUGGUUUUUCUUUCUCCUCCUCUUCUUCUUCAUUUGUCGUUGGUUUGGAGUAGUUUUCGCAUAGUUUUACGGGUGGUUCUUACUGAAGAUUAGUGCUUCUGCUUCGUUUGGUUCGGUUUUCUGUUGGAGUUUUGGGCGGGAAAUCAGGGCUUAGAAAACAGGAGUGAAGGAGGUUUCACUGAACUUUUGAGUCAUAGGAUAGUCUUAUUUUGAGAUUGUCCCCUGUUUCUGUUUCAAUUGCUCGUGCGUUCGGCCUUGUGUAAUUCAAUUUUUCUUCAAGACCAUUUCUAUCAUUGAAGUAUUCUGGAAGUUAGUGGCUUGUUCAAAAUUCAAACAAGCCAUACAGGAAUAAGCUGAGGUUCUUACCUUCUGUGGAGAAAGAUCGUUCUGGAUUUGCCCAUUGCAGUUUUAAUCCAACAAUUUCCAUAUCUAAU